AGUCAAUGUGGAGGCUAUAUACAGGGGGUACCGGUACAGAGUCAAUGUGGAGGCUAUAUACAGGGGGGGUACCGGUACAGAGUCAAUGUGGAGGCUAUAUACAGGGGGUACCGGUACAGAGUCAAUGUGGAGGCUAUAUACAGGGGGUACCGGUACAGAGUCAAUGUGGAGGCUAUAUACAGGGGUACCGGUACAGAGGCAAUGUGGAGGCUAUAUACAGGGGGUACCGGUACAGAGUCAAUGUGGAGGCUAUAUACAGGGGGUACCGGUACAGAGUCAAUUUGGAGGCUAUAUACAGGGGGUACCGGUACAGAGUCAAUGUGGAGGCUAUAUACAGGGGGUACCGGUACAGAGUCAAUGUGGAGGCUAUAUACAGGGG
rnacentral:lncRNA from 1 species